rnacentral:rRNA from 1 species
AACGAACGCUGGCGGCAUGCCUAACACAUGCAAGUCGAACGAGACCUUCGGGUCUAGUGGCGCACGGGUGCGUAACGCGUGGGAACCUGCCCUUAGGUUCGGAAUAACUCUCCGAAAGGGGUGCUAAUACCGGAUAAUGUCUUCGGACCAAAGAUUUAUCGCCUUUGGAUGGGCCCGCGUUGGAUUAGCUAGUUGGUAGGGUAAAAGCCUACCAAGGCGACGAUCCAUAGCUGGUCUGAGAGGAUGAUCAGCCACACUGGGACUGAGACACGGCCCAGACUCCUACGGGAGGCAGCAGUGGGGAAUAUUGGACAAUGGGCGAAAGCCUGAUCCAGCAAUGCCGCGUGAGUGAUGAAGGCCUUAGGGUUGUAAAGCUCUUUUACCCGGGAUGAUAAUGACAGUACCGGGAGAAUAAGCUCCGGCUAACUGCGUG